AAACGAAGUUCGCAUGCGAAACAGAGCAACUGUUUAGUCGAAAGCCGGCGCGCGUCAACACCAGGAACUUUGUGACUGACAGUUAUCUAGGGAAGCGUGGAUAGGCUCAAAGCUUUUCUUGGAUUACUCUCCUAGUAAAGAACAGUGAUGAUAUGUAAACAAAGGGAUUUUCAAUCACUUGAAGAAGCAUGAAGGUAUAUCUAAACGUCGAUCAACGUAAUUAUUCUCAGUGUUCAACAUCAUCAUCAACAGAAGUAUCAACUCCUCUAAGUCCUACAACUCCUCUUUUAAGUCAUGCAACUCAUCUACACGAUCUUCUUAUUUCUUUCCUUGGUGAAAUUGUCAGUACAAUCUUCCUUAUAGUGUUUAUUGUCUUCGUAGCCAUCAUAAAAAUCGCAAUACAUAUUGUAGUAGCUUGUAGAAUAGUUUAUCGUGGACUGCAUCAUCGGGAAACAACCAGAACCUAUGCAACAAGCUUCAGCGGCUUGGAAGAACAAGAAGAAAGUGGUGGCAUUAGGUUGUCAUUAAGUGACCUACAGAACUUUUCUAGUUUUAAAUAUGAUACGGGUGAACCUACUCAAAAAUGCAUUGUUUGUCUGGAAAGGUUUGUAGAAGGUGAAAUUUGCAGAAGUCUACCAAGAUGUAACCAUGUUUUUCAUGCUAGCUGUGUUGACUCAAGUUCCCUCAUGCCCACUUUGUCGACGAAUCGUUGUUAAACCUGGAGUGGAUCAAUUACUACUGGCGGAUUCAUCUGGUAGCAGUGCAUAGUUUUCCUUGUAAGAUGUGGAUUCGGAUGUGAGCACGAAACAAUAAUCGCCAAAAGUUUACAUCAAAGAAAAGUUACAAAAAAUUGCAGCUUUAACUAUCCAUAGUUUUGGAAAUUUUGUGGAAAAUUCCAUGUGAAGAAAGCUAGCUGAGCCCAACUUUGACCAGAAUGGUUGUCCAAAUCAUCAUUAGAUUUUUUAUUGGAUUUUACCCGAAAUGUUUGGAAUGUUACCAUCGCUCCCAAAAAUGAAAGUUUACUGAACAACGAGCAGAUUGGAGGUUUGUCUGUCAAUGUGAAAUAAAUUUUUUUGCCUUA